rnacentral:rRNA from 1 species
GCCCUUAUGAUUUGGGCUACACACGUGCUACAAUGGACAAUACAAAGGGCAGCGAAACCGCGAGGUCAAGCAAAUCCCAUAAAGUUGUUCUCAGUUCGGAUUGUAGUCUGCAACUCGACUAUAUGAAGCUGGAAUCGCUAGUAAUCGUAGAUCAGCAUGCUACGGUGAAUACGUUCCCGGGUCUUGUACACACCGCCCGUCACACCACGAGAGUUUGUAACACCCGAAGCCGGUGGAGUAACCAUUUGGAGCUAGCCGUCGAAGGUGGGACAAAUGAUUGGGGUGAAGUCGUAACAAGGUAGCCGUAUCGGAAGGUGCGGUUGGAUCACCUC